ensembl:lncRNA
CUCUAUUGUGAUGGCCUUACAGAGCAGCAAGCCAGUCAGUGCAGACAGACAGAUUCACCCUAGAGCAGCUUUAACUCCUAGCACAGGUGGGCCAUCUAUCCAACGCCGGGGAACACUGUCUCAGCCUGCAUCACAGGAGGAGGGCAGAAGCUCAACAGAACAUCUAAGCAGAAGACCUGCUGGGUGCAACUUCUCUGGCCCAAAAGGAAAACUAAGGUCGAGAACCAACCUAGAGGCCCAGAGUGGCACACACCACACCACAGGAAGUCAGAGGAUGAAUUCCAAGGUUGGUUCUCACCUUCCACCAUGGUACCCAGCAAUCCAGCUCAGGU